GACGUAGGGCGCGAGCGUUGUCUGGAUUUAUUGGGCGUAAAGAGCUCGUAGGCGGCUUGUCGCGUCGACUGUGAAAACCCGCGGCUCAACUGCGGGCCUGCAGUCGAUACGGGCAGGCUAGAGUUCGGUAGGGGAGACUGGAAUUCCUGGUGUAGCGGUGAAAUGCGCAGAUAUCAGGAGGAACACCGGUGGCGAAGGCGGGUCUCUGGGCCGUAACUGACGCUGAGGAGCGAAAGCGUGGGGAGCGAACAGG
rnacentral:rRNA from 1 species